CCUACGGGUUGCACCAGUGGGGAAUAUUGCACAAUGGGCGCAAGCCUGAUGCAGCCAUGCCGCGUGUAUGAAGAAGGCCUUCGGGUUGUAAAGUACUUUCAGCGGGGAGGAAGGUGUUGUGGUUAAUAACCACAACAAUUGACGUUACCCGCAGAAGAAGCACCGGCUAACUCCGUGCCAGCAGCCGCGGUAAUACGGAGGGUGCAAGCGUUAAUCGGAAUUACUGGGCGUAAAGCGCACGCAGGCGGUCUGUCAAGUCGGAUGUGAAAUCCCCGGGCUCAACCUGGGAACUGCAUUCGAAACUGGCAGGCUAGAGUCUUGUAGAGGGGGGUAGAAUUCCAGGUGUAGCGGUGAAAUGCGUAGAGAUCUGGAGGAAUACCGGUGGCGAAGGCGGCCCCCUGGACAAAGACUGACGCUCAGGUGCGAAAGCGUGGGGAGCAAACAGGAUUAGAUACCCGUGUAGUC
rnacentral:rRNA from 1 species